UACAGAGGUCUCAAGCGUUGUUCGGAUUCAUUGGGCGUAAAGGGUGCGUAGGUGGCUUGGUAAGUCGGAUGUGAAAUCCCGGGGCUCAACCCCGGAACUGCAUUCGAUACUGCCAGGCUGGAGUACUGGAGAGGAGAUUGGAAUUUACGGUGUAGCAGUGAAAUGCGUAGAUAUCGUAAGGAAGACCGGUGGCGAAGGCGGAUCUCUGGACAGUUACUGACACUGAGGCACGAAGGCCAGGGGAGCAAACGGG
rnacentral:rRNA from 1 species